rnacentral:rRNA from 1 species
GAAGAAGGUAACUCUGGAAGUUGGCCCUUGUCUAUGUUCCUUGGAACAGGACGUCACAGAGGGUGAGAAUCCCGUGCGAUGGGGUGUCCAAUUCUAUGUAGAGUGCUUUCGAAGAGUCGAGUUGUUUGGGAAUGCAGCUCUAAGUGGGUGGUAAAUUCCAUCUAAAGCUAAAUAUUGGCGAGAGACCGAUAGCGAACAAGUACAGUGAUGGAAAGAUGAAAAGAACUUUGAAAAGAGAGUGAAAAAGUACGUGAAAUUGUUGAAAGGGAAGGGCUUGAGAUCAGACUCGGUAUUUUGCGAUCCUAUCCUUCGUGGAGAGGUUUCACUUGCAGCUUACCGGGCCAGCAUCGGUUUGGAUGGUAGGAUAAUGACAUUGGAAUGUGGCUCUUCGGAGUGUUAUAGCCUUUGUUGAUACUGCCUAUCUAGACCGAGGACUGCGUCUUUGACUAGGAUGCUGGCAUAAUGAUCUUAA